rnacentral:tRNA from 1 species
CAUACUAAAGUUUGUGGAAUAAUUACUUUGGGUGUAAGAGGGGGCGGUAUGA